rnacentral:rRNA from 1 species
GUCGCACGAGAAAGUGGAGCAAUCCAUGAGUAAAGUGGCGCACGGGUGAGUAACACGUGAAUUAUCUACCUCCGAGUGGGGAAUAACUGAGAGAAAUCUUAGCUAAUACCGCAUAACACUUACGAGUCAAAGCAGCAAUGCGCUUGGAGAGGAGUUCGCGGCCGAUUAGUUAGUUGGCGGGGUAAUGGCCCACCAAGACGAUGAUCGGUAUCCGGCCUGAGAGGGCGCACGGACACACUGGAACUGAAACACGGUCCAGACUCCUACGGGAGGCAGCAGUGGGGAAUUUUGCGCAAUGGGGGAAACCCUGACGCAGCAACGCCGCGUGGAGGAUGAAAUAUCUUGGUAUGUAAACUCCUUUCGAUGGGGAAGAUUAUGACGGUACCCAUAGAAGAAGCCCCGGCUAACUUCGUGCCAGCAGCCGCGGUAAUACGAGGGGGGCAAGCGUUGUUCGGAUUUAUUGGGCGUAAAGGGUGCGUAGGCGGUUUGGCAAGUCUGAUGUGAAAUCUAUGGGCUCAACCCAUAGUCUGCAUCAGAAACUGCCGGGCUUGAGUAUGGGAGAGGUGAGUGGAAUUUCCGGUGUAGCGGUGAAAUGCGUAGAUAUCGGAAGGAACACCUGUGGCGAAAGCGGCUCACUGGACCAUAACUGACGCUGAUGCACGAAAGCUAGGGGAGCAAACAGGAUUAGAUACCCUGGUAGUCCUAGCCCUAAACGAUGAUUGCUUG